GUAUAGAUUAUAGCAUUAUACAUAACCGAGGUUCUUUGGUGGGCACACAAGCGUUUGGCGCUGUUGGUAUUAGCUGUCGGUCGCAAAGUAAUUAAGUAAUGCGAUAGACACCGUAUUGAUUGAAGAUAAAGUAACAUCAGAAAACCCGUCAGUCACCAGGAAAUGUGAAAUCUUUUUCGAAACAAGCGCACGUCAGUUUCUUACUUAUCGACAAAUGCAAACAUAUAUCAAUGACAUCCACCACUGUAAAUUUUGCCUAAUGACAAACGUAAACAUCUGAGUGAACGCCCAAACGCACACAAGGGUAUUUGAAAUAUAGGAGGUAACGUUGGUUACAGAAAACUCGGAUCAUUUGGGCUGUCAUAUUAGGAUGGAAGUCACACAUCUUGAAGAUUUGCAAUCAAUGAACAUUGUUUUGAGCUGAAGUAGCAAAAUGCAACUUUGUUAACAUAUGGAAUUGUCAUUUUCAGUGACAAGAGUUUAAAAAAUGAAAGAAAUUAAGAAUGUAUUAGAGAAAAGUGAAAACAUCCCCGCAUGGAAUUUAUCAGUUUAAAUGAUUAUGAUUCAUUACUUGAAGAUAGUGGUCUGUCAGAUACUGUAGUACCAAAUGAUGUACGGCCAAAUACUACUACACCGUACAACUGAGGACUGUGACAGUGUAAUGAAGCAGAACAUUAAGUGAAUUUAAUAAAAAAGGCAUGUAAAGGGUGUGGUCCAGAUUGUGAUACAAUCUGAGAUUUCAAUAGUUAGCAAAGGAUAAUUGUGAAUUUGAUGUCAUUCUAAUCACUUACACACUGAUGAGCCAAAACAUUACAACUAUUGUGAGAUUGAAUGCUGCAGGGUGGUGGUGCGGUGGUGUUGGUGUGGGCAUGUGAUGUAAGGAAAGUAAACAGGGUGGUCGGAAAUUCCCAUUACAAACUUCCAGGACAUGUAGAGGGUAGAGAGUACAGAACAUUUUGAAUAGUAACCCAUGUCCAGAAUCGUAUCGUUUCCGUUCUACGACAGUUUCAAUUCUGAUGUCUCAAGAGUUCCCUGUCAUGGUAUGCAACAGGGUAGACACAAUGAUGUGUACUACAUCAAAUGAUCCUCAGAUGUCCCUUAUUGUCCACUAUACUGUGAGACUGAUUCAAUACCUGUGCAUCACUGAUAGAGGAAACAUGGUGUAGUACACGUUUGCGGAAUACACAGACACGCUCCCUGUGUAUAGCGAAGUUGGAGGUAACGGAAGAGCUGCUAGUCCAACAGUUUUCCACACUGUCACACUCCAUCACACAAACUGUUUGCCCAAGUUACACAACGGCUAUGAGAAACAGGUACCUUCACUGUGAGGAGGCAGGGCGGUGGUGCUCCACGGCGAUGCUGCACUCCCGAAUUUGAAGAAUGUGUACUGUGUUGCAUUGAAGAUAGCCUGUCAACGAGUUCACGAACAAUUGAACAAUUGCUGUUUUGUCUAAAACUUAUAUGGUGAGACCGUGGCUGUAUACAGUUAAUGUAGGUUAGUUCUUACAAAGAAGAAAACAGCAACCAGCCACUAUUGACACUGCUAUUUAUUUAGGUAAAUAGGGCUGUUACCGGUUUCGAACUGGCACAUUCAUCAUCAGACAACUCUUCACAUGAUUUUAAAAAUACACUUUACAUUAUCGUCCAUUUUUAAUUUUUAUAAUUCCACUGUGGUGAAGUAUUUUUGAUGUGUUAUUACCCUACGGUAGAAAAACAGUGUUAGAAGCGCCUAUGUAAAAAUAACUAACCUCCAAACGAUGAAAUACAGCAUAAAUAAAUAUGUGAGGUUAAGUGGUUAUGGUACUUACGUCGAAAAUUCUGCAAGAUUUUGUUGCGAAGUUGCAGGAUUGUAUUUUUCGCAUAUUCCUAAAUACAUCCAGCACUUAUGUAACUACGCGUGCACACACACACACACACACACACACACACACACACACACACACACACACAAUUUGCCACAUGUGAAGUUAUCACAGAGAUUGCAGAUUUACAAACACAACAGUGUCAGAGACGUUCUCCCUGAGGCAUUGCAAUAUACAGGUUGCUUUGAUUUCAUAGAAUGGCUGUUUUUAAAGAAUAACAUAACUUAAUGAAAAUUAAAACACAAAGAUAAACCUUACAUUAUGAGUGUGUAAUAUUACAAAUGAAGUUGACAGAAGUAGUAACCAGCUUGUGUGAAUGCUACUUAUAUGGUAAUUUGUAAAUACUGUGCUAUAUACAAGGAGCAACAUAGAGGUGAGCUAAAAUGAAUAUUAUGACGGUAACAAUUGUAUUAACAUCUAUCUAUGGUGCACUGAAAUUUUGAAUCAAGUAUAAUAGCAGGUGUGUGUUUGCGCCCCCCCCCCCCCCCCAAAAAAAAAAAAAAAAAAAGAAGAAGAAAGACCUCCUCAACUGUACAAUCUACACUUGCAGCUUAGCAAUAGCCUUUCCAGCGUACAGUUCUCCAACAUAUUGCAAUACAUUGACAACAUCAUUUUCGGUACAUUGCUGCUGGUGCCGUAGAUGCUGGGUACUUGUUGUUGACGACUAACAUAAACCAUAAGGUGUAAGUUGUAGUUCAAAUGCCUAAGUAAUAACAGAACGAGUCGGUAUUCUUUUCAAAUGGAUUGCAACAAUUGUACUGGGUCACGCCUAAGUACAUUCCUCAUGUGGGUGUGGAUGGGAUAAUCAUCUGCAUUGGAACCGUCGUAGAAUAGAAACGGUAUGUUUCUGGACAUGGAUUCCUAUUCAAAAUGUUAUUUACUCACUACCCUCUACACGUCCUAGAAGUUUGUAAAGGGGAUUUCCAACCACCUUGUAUAAGAAAAGCAGGGAUUAAUGGGGAAAUCCACUGAUAUUAAUGACUUUGACAAAGACCCGGCAUCUGGGAAUGAGCAUUUUCGAAUCACUACUGUUAUCAGUAUAUAUAGAAAAGGGGUUGACGAAUGGUGAGACGGUGAGUAAGAGGCAAGGCGUACAGAAUAAAAUUUUCACUUUGCAGCAGUGUGCGCACUGAUAUGAAGAGAUAAGGUGUUAGACAUUCAUGCUUCAUCACAGAACAUGAAGUCUGGAGGAUUGCUUGCUCUGUAAAACAGCAUAGGUGGUAGUGAUGUGUGGCAGAUCUGAAGACAGAAUACAGUGCUGUUGCAAGCACAAGUUUUGCAGAGCAUACCAUUCAGCGCACUUUGCCAUUCUUAAUAGACAAACCCUAUGUACUCUGAUGUUGACAUAGUAACUUGCACUGGGCAUGGAAACAUUGAGAUUGGACGGUGGAUCAAUGGAAACAUGUUCUCUGGUUAGAUGAAUCACAUUUCUCAUUGCAGCAGGUCAAGGGUAAGUGUUCAGAUAUGGUGAACGGCUGCUACAAAUGCGCACUGUGUCACAGAUGCAGGCCUGCUGGGGUACUAUUAAGCCUGGGCUUCCAUGGAUCCUGUGGUAGUAAUUUAAGGUAUCAUGACAACUGUGGACUAGUACCUUUCAGAUGAGUUUUACAAACAACUGUGUGUCACACCCAAUUAAAUUCUAAAGACAGUACCACAGGUGCUCUUACUAACACCAUAGGAUAUAUUGCUGCAGUCAUUAAGAUUGCUGCACAAGAUCAGACAGGGCAAGACACUGUCUGAGAAUUAUUUAUUUGUGGAAACAGCACCAGAAUGCUUAUUCAUGUACUUUAUGAAUUCUGCCGGCUCUGUUUGAAAUCCAACUAAAUAAAAUUGCUUACAGUUUCA